rnacentral:rRNA from 1 species
GUGGGGAAUAUUGGACAAUGGGCGAAAGCCUGAUCCAGCCAUGCCGCGUGUGUGAAGAAGGUCUUCGGAUUGUAAAGCACUUUAAGUUGGGAGGAAGGGCAGUAAGUUAAUACCUUGCUGUUUUGACGUUACCGACAGAAUAAGCACCGGCUAACUUCGUGCCAGCAGCCGCGGUAAUACGAAGGGUGCAAGCGUUAAUCGGAAUUACUGGGCGUAAAGCGCGCGUAGGUGGUUUUGUAAGUUGGAGGUGAAAUCCCCGGGCUCAACCUCGGAACUGCCUCCAAAACUGCAUGACUAGAGUACGGUAGAGGGUAGUGGAAUUUCCUGUGUAGCGGUGAAAUGCGUAGAUAUAGGAAGGAACACCAGUGGCGAAGGCGACUACCUGGACUGAUACUGACACUGAGGUGCGAAAGCGUGGGGAGCAAACAGGAUUAGAAACCCGGGUAGUCC